CCCUUAGAUGUUCUGGGCUGCACGCGUGCUACAAUGGCGUUUCCAGCAAGUCUGCGAACCCGAGAGGGCCAGCGGAUCUUCGAAUUGGCGUCGUGAUCGGGACAGUCGAUCGCAAUUAUUUGACUCAAACGAGGAAUUCCUUGUAAUCGCGAUUCAUCAUAUCGCGCUGAAUACGUCCCUGCCCUUUGUACACACCGCCCGUCGCUCCUACCGAUUGAGCGAUCCGGUAAAUGUUUUGGAUUGGUGCCGGGGCGGCUAGCUGCCGGUCGCUACGAAAUUUUGUGAACCUUAUCGCUUAGAGGAAGGAAAAGUCGUAACA
rnacentral:rRNA from 1 species